CUGCUGCCUCCCGUAAGAGUCUGGGCCGUGUCUCAGUCCCAAUGUGGCCGUUCAACCUCUCAGUCCGGCUACCAAUCGUCGCCUUGGUGGGCCGUUACCCCGCCAACUAGCUAAUUGGACGCGAGGCCAUCUCAGAGCAAUAAAUCUUUGAUAUGAAAGGGAUGCCCCUCCCAUAUGUUAUGCGGUAUUAGCACACCUUUCGGUGUGUUAUCCCCCCACUCUGAGGCAGGUUCCUCACGCGUUACUCACCCGUCCG
rnacentral:rRNA from 1 species